rnacentral:rRNA from 1 species
GAUGAACGCUGGCGGCGUGCCUAAUACAUGCAAGUCGAGCGAACAGACGAGGAGCUUGCUCCUCUGACGUUAGCGGCGGACGGGUGAGUAACACGUGGAUAACCUACCUAUAAGACUGGGAUAACUUCGGGAAACCGGAGCUAAUACCGGAUAAUAUAUUGAACCGCAUGGUUCAAUAGUGAAAGACGGUUUUGCUGUCACUUAUAGAUGGAUCCGCGCCGCAUUAGCUAGUUGGUAAGGUAACGGCUUACCAAGGCGACGAUGCGUAGCCGACCUGAGAGGGUGAUCGGCCACCCUGGAACUGAGACGCGGUCCAGACGCCUACGGGAGGCAGCAGUAGGGAAUCUUCCGCAAUGGGCGAAAGCCUGACGGAGCAACGCCGCGUGAGUGAUGAAGGUCUUCGGAUCGUAAAACUCUGUUAUUAGGGAAGAACAAAUGUGUAAGUAACUAUGCACGUCUUGACGGUACCUGAUCAGAAAGCCCCGGCUAACUACGUG